UACGUAGGGGGCUAGCGUUGUCCGGAAUCAUUGGGCGUAAAGCGCGCGUAGGCGGCCCGGUAAGUCCGUUGUGAAAGUCAAAGGCUCAACCUUUGAAAGCCGAUGGAUACUGCCGGGCUGGAGUCCGGAAGGGGCGAGUGGAAUUCCUGGUGUAGCGGUGGAAUGCGCAGAUAUCAGGAGGAACACCAAUAGCGAAGGCAGCUCGCUGGGACGGUACUGACGCUGAGGCGCGAAAGCGUGGGGAGCGAACAGG
rnacentral:rRNA from 1 species